UACGGGGGGAGCAAGCGUUGUUCGGAUUUACUGGGCGUAAAGGGCGCGUAGGCGGCCUCCGCAAGUCAGUUGUGAAAUCUCCGAGCUUAACUCGGAAAGGUCAACUGAUACUGCGGGGCUAGAGUGCGGAAGGGGCAACUGGAAUUCUUGGUGUAGCGGUGAAAUGCGUAGAUAUCGAGAGGAACACCCGCGGCGAAGGCGGGUUGCUGGGCUGACACUGACGCUGAGGCGCGAAAGCCAGGGGAGCGAACGGG
rnacentral:rRNA from 1 species